rnacentral:rRNA from 1 species
CAUGCAAGUCGUGGGGCAGCACAAAUAGCAAUAUUGGGUGGCGACCGGCAAACGGGUGCGUAACACGUACGCAACCUUCCCGUUACUGGGGAAUAGCCCAGGGAAACUUGGAUUAAUACCCCAUAUUAUAUAGAUCAGGCAUCUGGUUUAUAUCAAAGCUUCGGCGGUAACGGAUGGGCGUGCGGUUGAUUAGGUAGUUGGCGGGGUAACGGCCCACCAAGCCUACGAUCAAUAGCUGAUGUGAGAGCAUGAUCAGCCACACGGGCACUGAGACACGGGCCCGACUCCUACGGGAGGCAGCAGUAAGGAAUAUUGGGCAAUGGACGAAAGUCUGACCCAGCCAUGCCGCGUGAAGGAUGAAGGUCCUCUGGAUUGUAAACUUCUUUUAUCUGGGGCGAAAAUCGGGUAUUCUUAUCCGCUUGACAGUACCAGAGGAAUAAGCACCGGCUAACUCCGUGCCAGCAGCCGCGGUAAUACGGAGGGUGCAAGCGUUAUCCGGAUUCACUGGGUUUAAAGGGUGCGUAGGUGGGCAGGUAAGUCAGUGGUGAAAUCCCCGAGCUUAACUUGGGAACUGCCGUUGAUACUAUCUGUCCUGAAUAUCGUGGAGGUAAGCGGAAUAUGUCAUGUAGCGGUGAAAUGCAUAGAGAUGACAUAGAACACCAAUUGCGAAGGCAGCUUGCUACACGGUAAUUGACACUGAGGCACGAAAGCGUGGGGAGCAAACAGGAUUAGAUACCCUGGUAGUCCACGCCCUAAACGAUGAUCACUCGACAUCAGCGAUACACUGUUGGUGUCUGAGCUAAAGCAUUAAGUGAUCCACCUGGGAAGUACGAUCGCAAGAUUGAAACUCAAAGGAAUUGACGG